CCUACGGGUGGCAGCAGUGAGGAAUAUUGGUCAAUGGGCGGAAGCCUGAACCAGCCAAGUCGCGUGAGGGAUUAAGGCCCUGCGGGUCGUAAACCUCUUUUGCCGGGGAGCAGAGGUCCGGACGCGUCCGGCCCGGAGAGUACCCGGAGAAAAAGCAACGGCUUACUCCGUGCCAGCAGCCGCGGUAAUACGGAGGGUGCGAGAGUUAUCCGGGUUUGUUGGGUUUAAAGGGUGUGUAGGCGGGCAUUUAAGGCGGCGGUAAAAUGGCGGGGCUCAACCCCGUGCUGCCGUUGGAACUGGGUUCCUUGAGUGGGCGAGAAGUAUGCGGAAUGCGUGGUGUAGCGGUGAAAUGCAUAGAUAUCACGCAGAACCCCGAUUGCGAAGGCAGCAUACCGGCGCCCUACUGACGCUGAGGCACGAAAGUGCGGGUAUCGAACAGGAUUAGAUACCCCAGUAGUC
rnacentral:rRNA from 1 species